UUUUCCCAGUCACGACAACCUGAACGCAGUCAUAGCAUCUUGGGAGACCCAGAAGAAGAAAAAGGCCAGACGCAAAUUGGACGCGACAGAGAGUGAACUGCAGAAAAAAAGAGAACAAGCAUCGAAAACAUAUCAAACCGGGAUGCAACGGAUUGAACUGAUCGUGGCCGCAGCAAGAGCACAGGCACAGGAAAGGCAAAGGAGGGAAGGGUUGAUGGCCCAAGAUAAAGCAGAUAGACUCGGAACCACUGGGAAACUUCCGACUACAUGUUUCUGCUUCUGAAAUCGUCAGCCCUGAACUGACUCUCCCAAAAUACUCGAAACUGUGGAUGUAAAAUAUAUUCCUUCCUAUCCACUUCUCUUGGUGUGAUCAUGAGAA